AAAAAAUCCCUAAAUCUCAUUUAUGAUUUGCGUAAUUAUCUCCCAAAACCAAAGCCCCCAUUCAAAUUUCUUCUUCAAAAUCUCCAAGAUUCCCUAAAUCUCUCCCUCUUGACAUAUUCAGGUUAGAUUUCAAGGAUUUUCUCUCUGUUUUUGGAAGAACAACCGAAACCCAUGGAUGGGUCUUCCUCCACCAAGCCGCACGCAACAAAUGAGAAGGGGGAAAAGAAAGUCAUUCCACCACCACCCACCCCAUCGGGGUUAGUACCUCUUGAGCCGCCUCUACCACCCGAAAGGUAUGGUAAAUUUCGUUCCUAAUGAACCCUGGUAUCUUUCAAUUUUGAAGAAAUUAAGAGAUUCAAAAUUUGUACCAUUCCCCAAGAAUGAUCCCACUAGGAUUGUUAAAGAAUAUGAAAUGAAUGAAUUAAGAGGGUACCAUGACUAAGGAUUGGGAGGGAAAUAGCCAAGAAAAGGUUGCGCGAGAGGGUGGAGUGAAAGACCAUGAGAACUUUUGUAGCCAUAUAGUGGAUUUAAACAAACAAUGACAAGAAUCAGUGGAAAGAUCUAGGAAAUUGAGUGAUGAAUUACCAGCUGUAUUAGAUGGCAUCAAAAAUCGCCCUAAGUAUGAAAUCACUCAACCAUCCCCCAUAUUAGGGCCUAUAGAAUCAUCAAUACCACCUCCCACUUCUUUAACUGUCAAUGUGGGUGUAUAAGGGGAAAAAUAGGGUAGUGGCACUCUGAACAUGAUACCCAGUCCCUGGAACAUUCAGAUUCUGCAACUGUGGAGAUUCAUUGAGAAGAAGUGUCAGGCGCAUUCUUUGACACCACACCACCAGCCACAAUUCCGGGAUGGAAAACGAGGAAGAGAAGGAUGAUGACAUCUCUCAGUUUAAGGUUCGAAUGCGAACUCCAGAGUACAGUCCACACCAAACUGAAAAAGACACCACAACUCCACUYAAAGAAGGAGCAUCCAGUCCUGAGGAUGCCCCACAAGAUGCUUCAGAGUCCGUCUAUUUUUCUCCUCAAGGUUUGUCUCAUUCACUUUCGAGUUUUAGUUCUUCUGACUCGAACUUUGUUGCUAAUGUAGAAAGCUCAAAGGAGGAAGUUUGCUUGGCCGGAGCAGUGAAAAUUUUGAAAAAAGAAAAAAAGUCGGUCUGGGAAGCACCAGACACAAUUUCAAAACCGUGCACCAGGGCUGUUGUAGCACAUUUGGCAGCCCAGAAAUUAGCUAGUGAAGGUCCCUCCAAGAAAGCCAAGAGGUCUAAGCUAGUUGAGGGAUUUGCAACCCGACCCUUUCGUGGAACCCAAUGAAACGGGGAGUGAGCCCAUAGUAACUGACUAACAUCCAACGAGAGCCAAGAGGGUAUGAAUAGAGGUAAAAAAGACGGACUUUAUGAGUCAAGAGCUUCUAACUGAGAAGUGUUUCGAUGAGGAACAAGAACUGAUUAUGGAGUUCAUAAAGCUCCAACUUGAACGACAUGGAUGGGAGACCUUAUUUGCACCUCCUCAACGCAUUUAUGAGAAAUUGGUGAAAGAGUUUUACGCUGUGAUGCAUUCACAUAGGGGACAUUUCGUGCGCAUAAGGGGUAAGUUGGUAAGUUUCUCGCCCACGACUAUUAAUGCUCAMUUGGGUUUGCCGGAUACCUUCAAUGCAAUAGGGAAUGAUCUUAUUGUGCAUCCCUCUAAUGAGCAAGUUGAGGAGGCCCGAAGGUUUGUAUGUAGGUUGAAGAAAUUGUGGAUCGUAUCACCGACUGGAAUUCUGUCCUUGAAGCCACUCGAUCUAAAUUAACAAGCCAUUGUUCGAACCUACAUAGUCAAUAAAAAGUUGAUUCCGACCUCGCACGACUCUUCCAUCAAGAGGAAUAGGGUGAUGAUGAUGCAUUGCCUAAUGAAAGGAAUAGAGAUCAAUUUCAGCUAGCUCAUUAGAGAUCAGAUUCGGGUUCGUUCAGAGAGACGGURGUAGGUCUUCUUUGCUUUCCUGCACUAAUAAUUGAGUUAACUUUAAAGGAAGGAGUUGAAUCUGACAAUAAGGAUGUGGUGACACCCAAGAAGCCGGCCACAUCAAUGAAGCGAGUUCGGGGGUAUUCUUUGGUUGGCGAAGAAGAUUUUCCUACCACCGCGACCACUCCUGAGACUCAAGUGUAGUUCCUCAAGAGAAACAUAAUGAGUUAAUGCAAAAAUACACUCGUUUAUUGGCCGUUUAACAUGCCACAUGUGAGUUCCUCAAAAAGAUUUAUGGAGUUGAAGCACCUUCCAUCCCAAAUGAUUUGAGAGCCGAUCUUCCUUCGUCCUCACGGCCAUCCGCUUCUACUGUUGCCUCUUCUGUCGAUGAUUCUUUCUUUGACGUUUAGGGGAGUAUAAACCUCCUAUCACUUUCUUUUCUAAACUUACGAUUGUUUACGUUUUGAACUUUUAAUAGCUUUGAAUUUGAUUAGUGAGGUUAGCUUUUAUUUAGGUUAGUUUUUGUUUGGAUGUUCCUGUUGUAAGACGCUUGUUUUUUCUUUAGCAUGUACUUUGAGCUAGUUAUAGGUUUGUCCUAUGCUUAUUCAGUGACAUUUUUUAUGAAUUAAUUAUAGCAUGCUCAUUUCGUAAAUGAAUUGCUUUCCUUUUGUUCUUUGUUUCUAUAUAUAUCAUGUAAACGAGGAUAAUUUAAGGGAAUGAAUAGGUUAAAUUUCUUAG